UGUGAUUGGUUGGACAGAGUUGGUGUGUAGCGGAUGGGGCUAGGAUCUGUGUCUGCAUUUGUUCUGGUAUGAUAUAACAUGCUGAUAUGAUAUAUGUGUUUUUGAAAACAUGACAUUCUGGUUUGAUAUGUGUUUAUGAAAAUAUGAUAUUCUGAUCCGAAAUAUGUUCCGGAAACAUGACAUUAUGAUCUGAUAUAUGUUUUUGGUAAUACAAUAUCCUAAUAUGCUAUUUAUUCAUUAAAAGUAAUAUUUUGUUAUGACAUUUACAUAUGUGCUUGUUAAAUCAAAUUAUGUUUGCGGAUUGAGUCACACACUAUGCCAAAGCUCAUUUGAUUGUUAAUACGUUUUAUGUACCAAAUCUCAUUUGAUUGUUAAUAUGUUUUAGGUUAACUUCCGACUUAGAACUGGACGGCGUGCGGGAGCUCGGAUUGGUUACCAUUUAAAAUAUAUGUUGGUUUAAGUUUUAGUUAUUUUUGGGCUGUAAUCUGGUUGUAGGUCUGGUUUUGGUUUUUGUGUUAUUCGUCGGCAUUUAAUGUUUUCGAGCAUAAAACUGCAAACCACAUGAGCUAACAAAUUAGAUUCCGAUUUUUAAAUAACUAAAACUCUAAUAAAUUUCCGCUG
rnacentral:lncRNA from 1 species